UACGUAGGCAGCGAGCGUUGUUCGGAGUUACUGGGCGUAAAGGGUGUGUAGGCGGUUCUCUAAGUUUGGUGGGAAAUCUCCCGGCUCAACCGGGAGGGUGCGCCGAAAACUGGAGGGCUAGAGUGCGGGAAGGGAGAGUAGAAUUCCUGGUGUAGCGGUGAAAUGCGUAGAUAUCAGGAGGAAUACCGGUGGUGUAGACGGCUCUCUGGACCGCGACUGACGCUGAGACACGAAAGCGUGGGUAGCAAACAGG
rnacentral:rRNA from 1 species